GGUGAGUAAUGUCUGGGAAACUGCCUGAUGGAGGGGGAUAACUACUGGAAACGGUAGCUAAUACCGCAUAACGUCGCAAGACCAAAGAGGGGGACCUUCGGGCCUCUUGCCAUCGGAUGUGCCCAGAUGGGAUUAGCUUGUUGGUGGGGUAACGGCUCACCAAGGCGACGAUCCCUAGCUGGUCUGAGAGGAUGACCAGCCACACUGGAACUGAGACACGGUCCAGACUCCUACGGGAGGCAGCAGUGGGGAAUAUUGCACAAUGGGCGCAAGCCUGAUGCAGCCAUGCCGCGUGUAUGAAGAAGGCCUUCGGGUUGUAAAGUACUUUCAGCGGGGAGGAA
rnacentral:rRNA from 1 species